GCUGGGCGUGGUGGCGGGCGCCUGUAAUCCCAGCUACUCAGGAGGCUGAGGCAGGAGAAUUGCUUGAACCAGGGAGGCCGAGGUUGCAGUGUGCCACUGCACUCCAGCCUGGGUGACAAAGCGAGACUCUGUCUCAA
rnacentral:sRNA from 1 species